rnacentral:lncRNA from 1 species
CGCCGGCCCUGCCCCUCCUCGCCCCUCAGGGCCCCGGCCGGAGCCGGCCGGCACGCACCGCCCUGCGGAGCCCUGGAGGGACGGCGGACGAGGGUCCAGCACCAUAGCGAGACGACAAACGUGUCUUCAAGCAGACAUUUCAUUGGACUGACGCUGAGGCAAAAGGACGCCCCUUACUAGCAAAAAUACUACUUUCAUGAGAAGAGGGAGGGAGCCAGGAUCACCAGAGAGAAAUUGAUCAGAGUUAAAG